rnacentral:rRNA from 1 species
CGGGACGGGUGAGUAAUGUCUGGGAAACUGCCUGAUGGAGGGGGAUAACUACUGGAAACGGUAGCUAAUACCGCAUAACGUCGCAAGACCAAGGAGGGGGACCUUCGGGCCUCUUGCCAUCGGAUGUGCCCAGAUGGGAUUAGCUAGUAGGUGGGGUAACGGCUCACCUAGGCGACGAUCCCUAGCUGGUCUGAGAGGAUGACCAGCCACACUGGAACUGAGACACGGUCCAG